AGUGAACGCUGGCGGUAGGCCUAACACAUGCAAGUCGAACGGCAGCACAGUAAGAGCUUGCUCUUACGGGUGGCGAGUGGCGGACGGGUGAGGAAUACAUCGGAAUCUACUUUUUCGUGGGGGAUAACGUAGGGAAACUUACGCUAAUACCGCAUACGACCUACGGGUGAAAGCAGGGGAUCUUCGGACCUUGCGCGAUUGAAUGAGCCGAUGCCGGAUUAGCUAGUUGGCGGGGUAAAGGCCCACCAAGGCGACGAUCCGUAGCUGGUCUGAGAGGAUGAUUAGCCACACUGGAACUGAGACACGGUCCAGACUCCUACGGGAGGCAGCAGCGGGGAAUAUUGGACAAUGGGCGCAAGCCUGAUCCAGCCAUACCGCGUGGGUGAAGAAGGCCUUCGGGUUGUAAAGCCCUUUUGUUGGGAAAGAAAAGCAGCAGGUUAAUACCCCGCUGUUCUGACGGUACCCAAAGAAUAAGCACCGGCUAACUUCGUG
rnacentral:rRNA from 1 species